rnacentral:rRNA from 1 species
UGGGGAAUAUUGCACAAUGGGCGCAAGCCUGAUGCAGCCAUGCCGCGUGUAUGAAGAAGGCCUUCGGGUUGUAAAGUACUUUCAGCGGGGAGGAAGGCGAUAAGGUUAAUAACCUUGUCGAUUGACGUUACCCGCAGAAGAAGCACCGGCUAACUCCGUGCCAGCAGCCGCGGUAAUACGGAGGGUGCAAGCGUUAAUCGGAAUUACUGGGCGUAAAGCGCACGCAGGCGGUCUGUCAAGUCGGAUGUGAAAUCCCCGGGCUCAACCUGGGAACUGCAUUCGAAACUGGCAGGCUAGAGUCUUGUAGAGGGGGGUAGAAUUCCAGGUGUAGCGGUGAAAUGCGUAGAGAUCUGGAGGAAUACCGGUGGCGAAGGCGGCCCCCUGGACAAAGACUUACGCUCAGGUGCGAAAGCGUGGGGAGCAAACA